rnacentral:rRNA from 1 species
GAUGAACGCUAGCUACAGGCUUAACACAUGCAAGUCGAGGGACCGGCGCACGGGUGAGUAACACGUAUCCAACCUGCCCUUUACUCGGGGAUAGCCUUUCGAAAGACAGAUUACUCCCCGAUGUAAAGGAUGGGGAUGCGUUCCAUUAGGUUGUUGGUGAGGUAACGGCUCACCAAGCCUUCGAUGGAUAGGGGUUCUGAGAGGAAGGUCCCUCACAGUGGAACUGAGACACGGUCCAAACGCCUACGGGAGGCAGCAGGGAGGAAGAUUGGUCAAUGGGCGUUAGCCGGAACCAGCCAAGUAGCGUGAAGGAGGAAGGCUUAUGGGUCGUAAACUUCUUUUAUAUAAGAAUAGGUAUUAUAUGAAUAAGGAUCGGCUAACUCCGUGCCAGCAGCCGCGGUAAUUC